GGGCCUGUAGCUCAAUUGGUUAGAGCCGACCGCUCAUAACGGUCUGGUUUCCGGUUCGAGUCCGGACGGGCCCACCA
rnacentral:tRNA from 1 species